rnacentral:lncRNA from 1 species
AGGGGGAUGAUUAAUUUGAAUUAACCCUGGGAUUGCCAGUUUAGAAAAUAACACCAGUGCUAGUUAACAAAGCUUAAAACCAAAUCCUAUGUGCUUGUAAUCAUUUGAACGCAAUUCCAAUCAACCAUUUUAAUCCCUAAUUCUGCAUUAUAGCAUAGUAAUAUUAACAUCAAUCUAACAGAAUAGGUAAGGCUUGGACUUCCAAUAUCAUUUCAUGCUAUUCUGUCCAACUAGUCCAGUGGUUCGUGUCCAAUCACCACCUUAAAAAAACUGAAACAAUCCAAUUGCUUACAAUGUCCAAAUACCUAUGUUAGAACAAAGCAUUUUCAGUCUAAUUACAGUCUAAGCAUUCAGAAAUCAGAUAAGAUUAAACCGUCCAAUUACAGCUCAUUCAAAUUCAGGCUGUCCAAGCAGUUAUUCUGCAAAAAAAAAUAUUUUCAACCACAUUCAUUUAAAUGGCAACUUUCAAAUUAUAGACAUCAUCCAAACGAGCUUAGAUCUGGUGGAACGUUCUUAUUUCAGCUUCAAAUACAUCGAUAUAGAUGAAGGAAUGUACCUGGAUAUUGCAAAAUAAGAAGGAAAAUAAGGUUAGCACAGCAGAUGGCAAUCAGCAAUAGUCCCCGCGAUCACAUUCACCCCAGAAAUAACUCAGGAGUCCAAAACCAUUUUUAAAACCAAAAAGAGACUAGUGUUGCAAACCAAACACAGCAACAGAAUGCACACGAUGAACCCAAUACCACUUGGAACCUUCAACAGCCAGAAAUUCAGCUCAAACUAACCUAGUUGAACCCAAAAAUCAUACAGACUUGACUGAAAUUGGACUGGGAGAAUUACGCCACUAAAAUCAACAAACAAUUGCUAGAACACAUUCAAACACACUCAAAACUAAACCCAAGUGACCCAAUAUCUUUUCAGUCAGUAGAAAAUCCAACGAUGGUUUGAAUAUGCUUUUUGAAUUACUCUAAUGUCCAUGAAGAUGAAAAUUACUAGAGAAAACGAUGAAACAGUACCCUUUUUGAUUUUCUGAAGCUUUCGUAUUUAUUUUUUUGUUUUUAUUUUGAAGAUUUAAAGUUUGGAUGUUAAAUUUCAGAUCUGAAACAUAAGAGGAAGGCAGGGAAUUUUGUGAGGCUCCAAACUUGUUCAAGAAGGCAUUAGAGGUGCCUUUUUAUAGGCCAAAAGAGGGCAUCC